rnacentral:lncRNA from 1 species
UGGGCAUCUACCUCGGUAGUUGUGUGGAAACGGACUUCCACGGGUAGUUGUGUGGAAACGGACUUCAGCUGGGGAUAGGGAUAGAACAACGAGAUAUCAGAAACAGAUUUUAUACUGGGGAUCGAACCCAGGGUGACGGGUUUCUCCAAAAAAAACCGCAACACCAUUGCGCCAAGAAGAUGACUCGGAUUCAGCAAGCGACUCGAUUUUUAGAUGAUGGUGGCGUGGCUUUUACAGUACUAUAAUAGUAGGAAGGGAACGGAUCCCCCGUGAAGCGGCUCAAAAGCGAGCAAUCGAGAACAAACGACUUCGUCGAGAUAGAGCAAACCCUAGCCGCCGCCGCCGACAGCCGCCAUGGCGAUGCGCGCUCUGGUCUCCAAGCUGAGGAUCCCGGUGGCCGCUUCUUCCCGCCGGUCGUUUCGCUCCUCCUCCACCGCCUCUCAGGUGAGGUUCCCCUCCUCGAUCUAUGUGCUUGUGAUGUGCGAUGCUAGGGAUAGGAUAGGAUUGAGGAGGAAUAAUUUUACACCAUAAUAGAUGUGAAAUAAAUCUCUCCCUAAUCUCUUUGAAUUCUCUUGUAAUUGGGAUUAACCGUACAAGGCUUUAAGAUGAACAGAUUAUUGAUCUGUUUUCUUUUCCUCCUUUAAGAUAAAGAAAUUAUUGGUAUGUUUUUUUUUUACCUCCUUUGAGAUGAACAAAUCGAUCUGUUUGGCAUCAUUAUUAUGAUCUACCCGUAACCAAUAUUAGAAGGGGGAGCCCCUUUCUUUUCGAUACUACAUACUAGCCUUGUGCUCAUGAUACUGAUACUGGUACUCCUGCGCCGGCUGAUUUCUUUCUUCAGCUCACGAUCUAUGAUCAAACCGCUGCUUCAACUUAACAUUAGAUGCACCACUUACCACUGCACGUAUACAAUGUUGUUACGCGUAGCGGUUUAUUAAUUAUCAGUAUUACUUGAUUUGUGCUUGGCAUUAUCUGAUUUCCCUCUUCCAUCCAUCAUAUAUGCAAUUUGCAAUUUUAGGGUCAGCCUAACCACGUGCCACGAUCUAUAGUUGAAGACCCAAGCUACAUCGCUAUGAGAGACGCUAUAAUUGAAAACCAAAGGUAUUGCACAGAUUCACGGUUCUAUUCCGGCAUGACUUAGAAUCAAUAUUCCACCUUUUAAUUUUCCCAACAUAAUAAUGUCUAGCUGACUCAUGGCUUAAUUCUCUUUUGAUCUCCCCCUCUCUCUCCAAGGCUCACCUACGAUCGCAUCAUUGCACGUCACAGGAGGCAUUGCAUAUAUAUAUAGCAAUGGGUUAUACCAUUCUCACCUUCAUCACGGUCGGCACUAUGAAGUGCUUUGGCCCGCGCAAGCAUCGACCACAAGCUGGACUAAGCUAAGGGGAGCAAGCUUUUCCCUGAAUAUGCAUCUAUUUAUGCCUGCUAAUUGUGUUAUGUAAAAGCACUCAGGCUGUGCCAAUCUAGUGCUUAACUAUCUAUUGUGGCUAUGCACGUACGUACUCCUUUGUAAUCAGGACCAAACCAAGUGUCGUAUCCUUAUCUCUGUCUAUUCGGGUUAUGGAGUAAAAACUAGCGCGUUCAACUGAUUUUGGUAUUGCA